rnacentral:rRNA from 1 species
AGCCUUCAGCAAACCAAUAGACAAGUAUGUGAAGGUGAUGCCUGCCCGGUGACAUAGUUCAACGGCCGCGGUAUCCUAACCGUGCAAAGGUAGCGCAAUCAAUUGUCCCAUAAAUCGAGACCUGUAUGAAUGGCUAAACGAGGUCCUAACUGUCUCUUACAGGCAAUCGGUGAAAUUGAUCUCCCUGUACAAAAGCAGGGAUAAACCCAUAAGACGAGAAGACCCUGUGGAACUUCAAAAGCAGCGGCCACCCCAAAUAACAUACACACCCACCUGGGCCCACUUAUUUAACGGGCUACUGGCUCGCACUUUUUCGGUUGGGGCGACCUUGGAGCAAAACAAAACCUCCAAAUCUUGGACCUUACAUCCAGACUAAGAGCAACUACUCAACGUGCUAAUAGCAACCAGAUCCAAUAUAAUUGAUCAAUGGACCAAGCUACCCCAGGGAUAACAGCGCAAUCUCCUCCAAGAGUCCAUAUCGACGGGGAGGUUUACGACCUCGAUGUUGGAUCAGGACAUCCUAGUGGUGCAGCCGCUACUAAGGGUUCGUUUGUCAACGAUUAACAGUCCU